rnacentral:rRNA from 1 species
UACGUAGGGUGCGAGCGUUGUCCGGAAUUAUUGGGCGUAAAGAGCUCGUAGGCGGUUUGUCGCGUCUGCUGUGAAAACUCGGGGCUUAACUCCGGGCCUGCAGUGGGUACGGGCAGACUAGAGUGCGGUAGGGGAGACUGGAAUUCCUGGUGUAGCGGUGAAAUGCGCAGAUAUCAGGAGGAACACCGGUGGCGAAGGCGGGUCUCUGGGCCGAUACUGACGCUGAGGAGCGAAAGCAUGGGUAGCGAACAGG